UCCACAAAACACAAAGGACACACAACUGCUUGCCAUUGUCAUCGUUUCUUCUAGAAAAAGAGAUAUGGAUCCCUCCCAAAGUGUGACUUAACACACCUAUGGCAUCAUGUGCGACUUCACAGCCACUGCUGGAGGCUAAUCUCCAACCACUGGGAUCUGAUUUUCAGCAGUAUUGACAGUUCAAGAAUCAAUCCGUGCCAGCUUCCUCUACUGAACCUGAUGCCGCUCUCAUACUACGCAUGUGACUGAGCUGUACGACUCAGUUUCCCUGUGCUGUGUGCCUGCUUCUGAGAGGGUGAGAAAACUCCUUAUUUUAUGAGUCACUGAUUACGGUCUGCACUCUGAUGUCGGCGCUGUUACUAUCCUUUCCUCACACAAAAAUACAAGGACACCCUUAUUUUCACUGCAUUUCUACAUCUCCUCCCUCUUUUUUUAUACAACUAACAACAACUACGAGUUGUUAAUAAAUAUAUAAUUGCAUGGUCAAAGAGUGUGUUUUCACGCAGCAUGAAACCUCCCGGUUUCUGCACCAUGUAGAACGCGCUGCAGGCACUCUCUUGCGGGAAGGUCUCAUUUUCAGCCUCCUGCCGUGCAAUAUUCAGUCGAGUCUGAAAUCAUUUGGGACUCAUUUUAGGGUUUAGGACUUAUCAAGAAUGCUGACAAUAAUGGAUAGCAAAGCUACAAAUGAAACACAGCUUUUCACGUGGAGGGUUUUAGUGGCAGGCAACAUUCAAGGCGCAGAGGUCCUGAAUCCAAACUCAGGGUGUCACAUAACACCAGAAAACUGGUUUAUGGCACAGAUUGCACCCAGCGCUCACAAAUAGUACACUGGGAUGCAAUAUAAUUCCAAAUAUCAUUCAGUAAAUUGCUUUUGAGUUAAGACAGAAAUGUAGUGUCAUGUGUUAGUGUAUAAGAUAUUAAUAUAUUUUUGUGGAGAAUGACAAUUUUGUUAUUUGCUUUUACGUCUAUAUAGUUCAUCACCUUAAACGUGAAAAUAAGAAAUAAUUCUGAUGAGUUGGGUGAUUGAUAUGAAAUCGUAUGUAUUAUUUUUCCAUUUGUAUAAUCAGUCUGAAUGCAUCUCAAGUUGAGCUAAUCCUGAAAAGAAAAAAAUAUAUAUAUCAAGGACAAGGAUGCACCUUCAACUGCAUACUGUAGAAACGAAGAGCAGAAUAAUGUUACUAUGGAAGGCUUUGGUGAAAGGAUUCAAGGACUUAACAAUUCCACAUCCUCUCAGCCUCUCCUUCAUCUCUAAUAAUCAAGCUUGGCCACAGAAUAUUCCUCUGGAUGGGAAGAAAAAGCAUGUCGCCUGUUCUCCUCUCACUCAUCUUAAAGACUGCCAGUCUGGGGUCUUCCUCUUGAAGUCUUCUGUCACUUUUAUGACUUCAAAUGCUAGGCAAAGCCUUUUUUAACAGACUGGCGUGUCUUUAAAGGCAGAUAUCUUUUCUGUGCUACAUUAGCAUGAGAUAAAGGGUAGCCCAUCUAUUGCAACGGAAACCCGGAGAAGCCUAGACCACAGACGCUGUGAACUCGUUUGUUGCUUGUGCACAAAAGGGCACCAAUGCAGACCAACCAGUUGUGGUAGUGGAGGAUAUGGAACAACAAAUCAUGCACCUUGUAUGGAAACAGAUGUUUAAUCUAAAGACAAUUCAACUGUGACAGAAUUAUAUUAGAGCAAACAAUGGCUUAUAUGAAAUGGAAACUACCAAUUUACUAGAACAUAAAUGUGUAAAUGGUUACAAAAUGAGGAUAUGUUUUAAGUCCAACCAAUUGUCAAAAUUAUAUUUGAGGAGUAAUACUAUUUUCAGGACACAAAAAACUUUCAUGAAAAGCAGACUAUAUUUAAUUUAUACAUGUACAGCAUUACCUAAUGAGAUAGUUCCUUCACAAUUCCAUAUGGCGAGAGAAACCAUUGAGUGUUUGCAGUCUUUCUCUGUUCUCUGUAGUUAGGUGUUAGCAUAGGGAGGUGCUUGCGAGCAUUUUAUGGCAGGCUGCUCCAGAGAGCAGCAGGCAGGCUCUCUCCCUCCCUUGCAGUGCAGGAGGCCACCUAGCCACACACAAUUACACCCAGAGCAAGGCAGCAGCCUAACCUGUACUCUGUCAUGGGCCAGGCCUCAGUUGAAUCUCAGCAUGCAUGCUCAAUGAUCUGUUAUUAAUUAAUCAAUCAAAACUAACCAAGGUAAACCUUGCUUUUUAAACAGGUCAGAACACACACUGUUCCACAUUGGGGGUUUUGCACUCAUAAAAUCCUGCACUCUGCUCACAGAGGAUCCUUUUCUGAAGAUAAGUGUGGAUUCAAACAAGGCUUCUGAUACUAUGAAAAUAUGGCUGCUGUGCUGAUACUUUAUAUAAAGUGUAUGUUAUUUCAACACACACACACACACACACACACACACACACACACACACACACACACACACACACACCACACCACACCACACAAGCUAUGUGAAUAACAUGAAAAAUUGGAUAGAUUACAAUGUGAAUAUGGCCUAUAUCACCAAACAAAAAUAUAUGCAUGAAUUUAAAUAUUAUGAAUGAGUGUUGACAAUUAACAUGUUGGGUUAAGACAUAUAAGAAGUUUGGGCUUACCUAUAAACUGUCAUGCAUACCUUUAAUAACUGGUAUUUAAAUUAUAAAUUGCACAUUACAUUUUAUUUCAUGUUUGUAUAACACUUUUAAGACUGUAGUAGGCUACUCUGGUUAGUGUCAAGUUAUGUAGCAAUCCACUGUAGCCUUCAUCAAAUGUGCAAUAUAAAACAAGAAAAUAGGUAAUAUUAGGCUACUUACGUUGAUGCUUGCGAGGCUGCAGAACUAUAUCCUCCCUAUAUCCUCCCUGAAUGUUUUUUGAAACUACAAUAAUAUUAUUUAGGCCUUCAAAAGUAAAUCCACCGAACAUAAAAAACACAAACCUGAACCAUAAUAUCCCAGUAGUCUUACUGAGUAGGCAAUGAUGUUUCCGUUUUUCGACUAUAAAUCAAUUUGCAGAUCAUUAAAGUCAUUAUUGACAACACGGAAAAAUGUCCAGAAUCAUCAGCGCCGAACAGUAGGAAAUCAUGUUGAUGGACCUGACUGUACAUUAAUGUCCACUGAGCGGCGCCGUAGUCCGCAUUUUUAAAUUAGACAUGCGCGCGAGGAGAGUUGGAAGCUUGAAUCCUUCCUUUAGCAAAUGCACGGUGUCAUUUAUGUGUUAAACAGUUGAACAAUGAUCGGGGAGUGAACAACAGUUAUUUAAAAUGAAACUGCAGGUAGGUGAAACCCACAUACCAUGCUUAUGUCGAGUAUACAAAUUAAACAUUGCAUACAAGACUUUAUAAACAAGAAAUGCAUGAUUCAUCAAGGCACUGUACACAUUUUUUUAAACAUGGUGUCAUCGUGGAGAUAACUUUGUGUAUGAGUUGUUAGCGAUUCAUACACCUACCUACCUCCGACACAGUCAAACAGUAAGUCAAUGCACCAAUACACACAACACAUUGCAAUCUAUUAUUUUCAAAUAGUGGGUAAUUCAUUUUUCCUACUGUCUGUUCUGGGGUGGCCAUAACACGGUCCAGAUUCAGCCAUAGGCCUAUAAGACAGACACACUGUAAUGUGAAGCUGAUUAGAAUUACUAUUAUAGUGUUCUUUACAUCUUUUAUAGCCUAGUUUAUAAAGUAUAUUCAGCAUCAUCAAUGUAGUCACAGGUGUAUUGUAAGAUAUAAUGUGUUGAUAGACCCUCACAGGACAAUAUGAUAUGGUGAUCAACAAACCAAAUGUCUCCUCACUUCAAUCUAUAUUACUAUAAUGUUUUUCUCUCUCUCCCUCUCACACAUAGCCUUCACUCUUUAGUAAUGUUCAUUACCUGCAAAUCAGUUACACAAGUUUGAAACAUGAGACAAGCCGAGAAACAAUAACACUCCUUUCUACAAAUUACAUAGCUGGUGAAGGAUUAGCAUUGGACCACAUAAUCGUCCCCAGCCAUAUUAUAGAAACAAUGGUCAGGAUAUCACACUCUGAAUAAGUUCCCAGACUGAAACUCCUUUGCACUUGCAGUACUUCACCCAGUAUACCAAUAAGAUAGCCCCCUAUCAAGGUUUGAUAGCUGAAAGAAAGCAAAGCAGGUUUAAAGCCCGAGCCCGUCGGGAUGUAUCCCGGGAUGGGACCCUAACAGAUGGGAAGUACUGUAAGAGACGAGUCUAAGGUCAAUCUGAGAUUCAGUGAUGAAGCCGUGGGCACCGCUCUCAGCAGUGUUUUUAAAGUUGACUUAACAAAGCAGAUUGUAUGGUCAGACAAAACUCAAGACCAUAUUGCAGCAUUUUUUCAUGCUUCCAUUGUCUAGUUUGCUACAGGCUGUAUUGCUGCCUGACACCAAAUGGUCUAAUAAAAUUGUGAUCAUUAUGUUUGUCUGUCCAUUUUUAUAGCUAACCUUGAUUUGAAUGUUUCACAGCUGAUCCGUUCAACAGCGGGCGAUGAGGAGGUUGAAGCUGUCUAAACAUGUGCAGCCAUACUGCAGUGUGUAUUGUGGUUAUUCAAGCAGCAUACUGUAAUAUUGACUGUCUUUGUUGUGGAGGGGAGUCUCAAAUUCAAUCCAGACCAUCAAUUUUACCUUGGACCUGAACGUGAUAAUCCGGACAAUUUAAACAUUUCUUUACAAGCAGAAGUGAACCCAUUAAUCCUGUGUGAUUCUUCUGAUAAGUGGUGACUGUGAAGUAAUGGCCAUGUCGCCUAGAAAAAUAACAAAUAUGUGGACAAUUAAAACAAGAUGGACAUUAUCUGGCAAGUCCCUACUCCCCUUUUCUUUAGCAGUAUUGUAAUUGAUCUGUCCCUUUGUUACUAAACUGAAUAUUGAGACCUGGCUUUUUGUUCAUUAUCUGUGGAUUUUAACAUGGUGCAUAUUUGUCUAGUUCGAAAAUCAUGUAAAAAAGGAACCCAGUGAUUAUUUUCUUCACAUAUACAAAUGCUGUUCUGAAGAAAAGUCAAUUGUCAUGUUACCUGCUAAAGUUUCUGGCUAUAAUGUGUUGACCUUUCCAGGCACCCCUGUUGUUUAGUUAUUUGAAAGUACUUUGACAAGCUGCAGUAUAUGACAGGAGUAUAUUGUAUCUGGAAUUAAGUCCAUUCACAUUUAAUUGUCCUUAAAAACUCUGUCAAACUUUUGCUCUGGGUGUUUGCUUUGCCCUAGAAAAUCAAUGUGACAUGUUUGGGCCGGGGGGGUAAUAAUCUGGUCCACUGACCAUAGUGAACACCCUAAUUUCUGUGGCUUGGCAAAGAGAUUUAGUGUGUUGAAUUAUGGUAAUUAAAGGUUGAAUUAUAAAAGUU